rnacentral:rRNA from 1 species
UACGUAGGGGGCGAGCGUUGUCCGGAUUUAUUGGGCGUAAAGGGCGCGUAGGCGGUGAGACACGUUCGUUGUGAAAUCGCCCGGCUCAACUGGGCGGGGUCAGCGGAUACGGUCUCACUUGAGCAAGCUAGGGGGCAAUGGAAUUCCCGGUGUAGUGGUGGAAUGCGUAGAUAUCGGGAGGAACACCAGUGGCGAAGGCGGUUGCCUGGGGCUUUGCUGACGCUGAUGCGCGAAAGCGUGGGGAGCGAUCCGG